GCGCGGUUAGCUCAGCGGUAGAGCAUCACCUUGACACGGUGGGGGUCACUGGUUCGAUCCCAGUAUCGCGCACCA
rnacentral:tRNA from 1 species